UCAACUUCAACGGACUCUCCAGGACAGCUCACAAUGAAUCAGAAAACAUGCCAGAUAUGGAUAGAAAGCUACGGGAGUCUAGUUUCCAAAUCAAUUGGAAUCACCUCAAUAUCUAUUUUCUAGAAGGAGUUAUGACGUAAUCAUCAGACGAAGGUCAAUCUGCCGAAAUUGAGAAGAACUAGGAAACCUAAACCAACUUGGUUUAGGCUUUGUGGCUGACUUCUCUAGGGUUUUUCCUCUAUAUAAAGCAUGACUUCAAGGACAGAAAAUCAUCAUCUCUACUCUUGCAAUUACAUAGCCGAAACUCUACCAAACCCUAUACAGAAAAUUACUUAGCCGAUUCAUCCACCACAAACCAUAAGAAUCAUUUCAUCCUUCCACCGAUUUUCCCCACACUUGCCGAAUCUUUCAAGGUUGUAAAAGUGUGAUUUUCUCAUGGCUUCUUGUAUUAUUUUCUGUAUAGUUUCAAACUCUAUUGUAAUAUACUUUUCGAUUUUGGUUUUAUUUAUCAAACAUGGUUUUUGGAUUUCUUUGUGAUCUUUGAUUGUUCUAUGUUUUGAUUUGUAACUU
rnacentral:lncRNA from 1 species